GGCUGCGUCUCUAGGGAGACAAUUAAGACGCAGAGGGAGAAACCUAGACGACGCCAGGGGACUCCCGGGCUCCGGCUCCCUCCCCGGUCAUUCCGCAGGCUGUGGCGAGUGUCUCCGGGAAGGAGAGGGGAGCGCCCGCGGUGCUAAGCAGGGAGGCUCUGAAGUGAGGAGCCCUGCACGCUGGAGGGGUGGAGGCCCGGUCCCGCCGGUCCGCAGCCAGGAGCGCGUCCACGGCCUUCUCCCGGUCCUCCCUCCCCUGCUUCUCCUCCUCGCUCCUCCCCUCCAGUCGCUCUAGGGUGGAAGCAUCAGACACGCCUGACCCGGGGCUUGGGUGCAGGCAGAGCUCGCCGCUCUCAGCCUGUGACUGGGAGGCCAGCCCGAGCAACCCGCGGACCCCGUCCUGUGCUCUCCCUCAGGCCCGGCUCAGGCCAGUCCGAGAGCUGUGGGCGCCGGUGACUGAUUCCAUCUUCUCCCACGUCCGCGAGGAACACAGUUUGAGCGGACGACCUUCCUAGAGCGCCGGGGCGUCGUGGUCCCGGUGGGGGUGGAGGCUGCCCCCGGCCCCGCCCACCCAGGGCCCCGCCCGCCUCUAGGCCCCGCCCCCCGGUCCCACCUAUGGUCUUGAUGACCGCCUCCUGGAACAUGCGCUCUUCGUGCUCCUUGAUGAUCUUGGUGCCCAGGCUCAUAGCCACGUCGUAGCUCCCGGUCAGGGCGUAGUCGAUGCUGAGCCGCAGCUGCCUCAGCAGAGUGUUGAACAUCUCCAGCACAGUGGGCCCUGGGCGCAGCCGGGGUCGGGGGGUGUGUGGAGUGAAGGGAAGACCCGAAAUCCAGGGCUGGCACCUCCCCCCCCGCCCCCCCCUUCUCCCCUGUCUUGCAUUCCAGCCAGAGGCUUCCUCUGCCCCACACCUGCCCUGGUUGACUUCUUCCGAGGAAAACCGUCUCUGACACCUCCCUGCGCUCCCUUGCCCUUUUCUGGAAGGCGGAGGCAGCUUCCCCCUAAGGGCAGUGCUUUGUUUUGGGAGGCUUCCCGGCCUCCACGCUGUCACUCAGCGCCCCCUUACCGACGGAGCCGGUGGCGGCGAUGACGGCAGCUUCCGACAGGACCUCCACGAUGCCCGCCCGCACCGUGGCCGCGCUGCGGCUGUUGGCAUCCAGGUGGCUCAGGAGCUGCUGGAUAACCAGGUCCCAGGUCAUACUGAUAAGGGCCCCACAGGCUACAGGGUUAGUCCAGUGCUGCACAAAGUGUAGCCGAAUUACACUGGGAUAGUACAGAAAUUGAAGAUCAAUGAAGCGGCAUGUCUCGACACGUAGGGGCUUGGAAGAGGUCACAGAGCAACCCUGCUUUCUCCUUUAGCACAUUGUCCUGCCCCCCUGCCACCCCCACCACCCCGAGAUGCCCUGGGCCAGGGGUGAAAGCUGGACUGAGGGAUCCACCAUACCUGAAUUGAGUACAUGAUGAUUUUAAAGCAACGGAUGGCGAACACCUUGGGUUCCCAAAGAGAAUGGUUAUCCAGGGGGCCUCCUAACCAGCACCUCUCCCCAACACUGAGCUAGGCCACUGUGGGGUAGCUUCUGCUGUCACGGUGCAGGGAACACAGGCACAGAGGACCAUCUGGGCACAGCACCACCGCCGGACACCUCCUUCCCCUCUCCCCAAGUCAGCCAGCAGGAUGCCAGCACCUGAGAUAGUUCUCUGACGGCCAGGGGCAGGGGGCACUCACAUGAGAACAGGCUUGAUGGCAUUCUUGAUGUUGCCAAAGGCAGCCCGGCCCAGCAGUUCCCGAAGGCACCUCUCGGCCAGCUCUGCUGGGUUCUCUUUCUCCUUCUCUGGUGCUUGGAGGGGCGAGGGCGAGCGGCUAUAGAAACAAGCAGCGUGUGGGGGUAAGGGGCAGCCAGCAAAGCCGGAGGCAGGCUUCGUGCAGCCUGCGUUUCUACGCUGCAUCCUUGCCAGCGGUGGCACUAAGACAGGCAGGAAUUUUCCGUGGGCUGCACGAGAUAAUGUAGGAGAUAUCUUGGCUGGUGGAGAUGAAACAGGGUAAAGAAGCCCAGGGUAGAGGAAGAUCACGGGAGAAGGGAUCCAGUUCUCUUUCUGGAAAGCCUUGAGGACAUGUGCCCCCACGGGAAGGGCAGAUAGCCUGCACAUAGUGGGCCUGGUGAGGCUCGCACCAAGAGUGUCUCCAUGCCCCGGAGCUCAGGAAAGAAAAAGAUGGGGUGUGAAGAGAGGGAGGCGGAGUAAGAGAAGGCAUAAGUAAGUGGGAGAGAGGAGGAAGAGGAAAAAGAAGGAGGGAAAAAAGAAAGAAAGAAAGGCAUGGAGGUUGGCCCAGGUGUGACUCAGUGGUACCUAAGUGUCAGGGGCUGGGCCGGAUCUGGACCGAGGAAGGAGCCUCAAGGUCUCCGGGAGCGCGGAGACCACGGGCGGAGCUGGUCGGUGAGGCGCAGUUCCUCGAAGGGCCCCCAGGGGGCACUUACUUACUCCCCCCGCCCGUCCCCAGCCGCAGAGGCUGCACCGAGUCGAGUGCGGGAGGACCUCGCUCUGCGCCGACAGCGGGACAGCGCGGGGCACAGGUGCACAGCGGCACCAGCCUUUCCCUGCGUCCCGCUUCACAGUCGGGGAGAGCGAGGCGCAGGGACAGACUGGAUCCCCCGUCUGAGGGCCCCCAGAUUAAAACGCAGGACCUGCAACUUGUGUCCAGUGGCUGCUGGCUGGUCAAGCAGGUUUUCAGGGGCUGAAAUACCAUUAGGAAGGGAGGGAGGAAGGCAAAGUCCUCAGUAACUGGAGCCAGUUGACUUGGCCUGCUGCUUUCGGGGAGACAGAGAUAAUCUGAUUCUUGGUUCUGUGUGUUCUUACCAGCACACACUUACGCUCGGGGAGCCCAGCACAGUUACUGUCUUCCCCUCCGGAUGGACACAGACCUAGGGGGUACAGCAAGCUGGCAGAAGGCCAGACCCAAGGCUCCUAGGGAGCCGGCCUUGGGCUUAUUGCAGAACAAGCCACAAAAACCACGAUCCCUGGCCUUUUAGUUAGUCUUUACCAAGCAGCCCAAGCCGUGUGGGUCCCCAGCGGAUGGCAAAGGCAGCCGGUCUGCUGCCCAAGCUCCAGCCUUGCCUGCUUACCUCUCGGCCUCUUCCACAUGCUGCAGAUUGAAAAGCAGUGAUGGGACAAUUUUGUCCAUGUGCUGUGGGUCCCAGAUAUUGGCUUGCAAUUCAUCGUUCACCGUCUUCCUUACCACCCCUUGCAGACCUUUGAUGCCUGACAUUCUGAUUCUGUAAGAAAAAAAAAAAAAAAAGGCAAAAUGGA